CCGCCUCCCCUCUGCCGCCGCGGGGCCGGGGCUGCUGCCCGCCGGGCAGUCACCCCGGGCAGACCGCUCCUCACGGAGGUUCCGCCAGGUUUUAUUUAGUGGGGGUUAUCCAGCGGGUCUGGAAUAAAUACGUAACGUGUGACAGGUCUGAACAAAAUUCUUUCCUGUGCGUGAGUGGUUGAUGUUAUUCCGUAACUAUUUCGACAGGAUAAUUCCAUAACUAUUUGUGCAAGAGACUGGAAGAGAUAAGGGCUGCAGAAGUUAAACAGGCUAUUUCCUGUCGAUAUUAGACAGGACUUUUCCUGUUUGUAAAUGAGCACAGUCAAAGAAGCCCUUUCAACGAAAGAGCAAUGGUUGUUAAGGACACCUGCUGUUACAAAAGAACUUCCUACAGGAGCUAAUUAUUCAAUAGGUAAAGUCCAAGCUGAGAGCACCUGAAAGCA
rnacentral:lncRNA from 1 species